rnacentral:rRNA from 1 species
AAGACCUUGCGCUUUUGGAGCGGCCGAUGUCUGAUUAGCUUGUUGGUGAGGUAAAAGCUUACCAAGGCUUCGAUCAGUAGCUGGUCUGAGAGGACGGCCAGCCACACUGGGACUGAGACACGGCCCAGACUCCUACGGGAGGCAGCAGUGGGGAAUUUUGGACAAUGGGGGCAACCCUGAUCCAGCCAUGCCGCGUGAGUGAAGAAGGCCUUCGGGUUGUAAAGCUCUUUCAGCCGGAACGAAACGGUUACGGUUAAUACCCGUGACUACUGACGGUACCGGAAGAAGAAGCACCGGCUAACUACGUGCCAGCAGCCGCGGUAAUACGUAGGGUGCAAGCGUUAAUCGGAAUUACUGGGCGUAAAGCGUGCGCAGGUGGUUUUGUAAGUCAGAUGUGAAAUCCCCGGGCUCAACCUGGGAACU